GUGUGUGUGUGUGUGUGUGUGUGUGUGUGUGUGUGUGUGUGUGUUUCGUAUUCAAAUCGCUCGGCUGUACUGAGCAUGCGCAAACAAAGGGAACACAUGGCGGGGGGCGUUACCGUGGCGACGUGUUUGGUGACACACACACAAACACACACACACACACACACACACAGUGUCAAUUUCUACAGUGACGGUGAUACGACACACACACAACUUUACUCGAGUGUUUACGUUGAUAACGGAGCGGAGGAAUUCACCUGUAAAAAGGCAAGUGUUUUACUGUUUGUUGAUGUGUGUGUGUAAAGUCUAUUUUACAUUUAAUUCAUUAGAUUAAAUAAGUUGAAUUUUGGAGGAACUACUUCUAUAGUUUACUACAGUAAGAGGUUAUAGCAUUCAUUAUGAACAUUUCAUAAAUCCUUACAUACAUUUCCACUGUGUAAGCCUCGACUAUAUAUUAAAUCAUGUUAGGUUUCCUUCUCAUGCAUUCAUAUAAAGGCAGGGUUUUUACUGUUCAUUUUAUUAUUUUUAUGAGGGCUUUUCUACAUUAAUUCCUUGAAUGCUAGUCAAAGAAAAGCAGCAAAUCUAAAACCAUUGAAUGCUUUUACAUAAAAAACAAACAGUUAUUAAAAAUAGUUUUAAAUCUGUAUUUUUCCACAACGGGGACUUUUCAUUCUUACCAUUACUGUUUAUACAUUGACUUUGUAUUGAUCUGUAAGUGUGUGUGUUGUGUUUCUCUUACUUUUACUUCAAUUUAUUUUAGUUUUAUUACUUAAGUUUUUUUUAAAUGCCGUUUUCUGUUCUUGUACUGUGUUUGCUUGAGUGAGUUAUGUGUACACUUUAUAUUGAAAACCAAAUGUUAGUAAACGUGAAGCUCUAUGUCUCCCUCCUCUCCAGAGUGAAUGGAGCGCUACGAGUCUCUGGGUCUGGUCGGGGAGGGCAGUUACGGCACCGUCCUGAAAUGUCGUCACCGAGAAUCUGGUCGCCUCGUCGCCAUCAAGAAGUUUGUGGACUCGGACGACGACAAGACGGUGAAGAAGAUCGCCCUGAGGGAGAUCAAGCUGCUGAGGCAACUGCGCCACGACAACCUGGUGAACCUCCUGGAGGUGUGGAAGCGUCGCCGUCGCUGGUACCUCGUGUUCGAGUUUGUGGAGCGAACUCUUCUGGAUGAUCUGGAGCAAAACCCAACCGGACUGGACCUGAACACCAGCCGGCAGAUCCUGUACCAGAUCCUGAGGGCUGCCGCCUUCUGCCACCAGCAGAAUAUCAUCCACCGUGACAUCAAACCAGAGAACAUCCUCAUCUCUCAGUGCGGCGUGGUGAAGAUGUGCGACUUUGGUUUUGCCCGGACCAUGACAUCUCCCGCUGAGGGGGGGGUUUAUACCGACUACGUAGCCACUCGCUGGUACAGAGCGCCCGAACUGCUGGUGGGAGACACCAAAUAUGGCAAACCAGUAGACGUUUGGGCUUUCGGUUGUCUGUUGCUGGAGAUGUUGACGGGUCAGCCUCUGUUCCCCGGAGACUCCGACAUGGACCAGAUAUACCACAUCGUCAGGUGCUUCGGUAACCUGACAGCUCAUCACCAGGAGUUGUUCUACAGGAAUCCCGGCUUUUCUGGAGUCAGGCUUCCAGAAUAUUCUGGACGAGUCCCAUUGGAUCAGCGCUUUCCUAUAAUCCCACCCACCGCCCUGGACCUGGCUCAGAGUUGUCUCCAGAUGGAUCCAGAGAGACGCGCCCAGUGUUCAGAACUUUUAGAACAUGCUCUGUUCACUCAAGACUCUUUCCACAUCAGAUUUUUAGACGAGCUGAAUGCAAAGAUCCAGAAAGACCACAGAGAGAACUCUACCCUCCCCAAAAUAACCAAAACUCUAAGACGAGAAGGGGAGGACAAGAACCGGAGAAGCAAAGAGAAGAAACACGCUGAAGAUGAGGAUGAGAGAAGCAACAAGGAAAAGGAGAGGAAGGAAGAAGAGAAAAUUGAGAAAACUAAAGGAAAGCAACCUUCAAAGCUUUCUAAAACUAUUCGAAAUCCCUCAGAACCUCUAAUAUCAACCAAACAAUGCAAAACUUUAGGCGUAAAGAUGGACAAUGCAGCAAAAACGACUGUGCAGAUGAAAAGUAAACCAGGUAAAGUCACUGUUGGGGAUCUGAGAAAGGAACCUGAGACGUCAAAAUCAACUAAAACUUUUACUUUGGAUUCUUUAGACGCUACCAAGACUGCAACAGAUCUAAAGGACAAUAACACCGUGGUAGCUAAACAAGGGAAAGGUGCUUCUCUGGAGACAAGGGAAGACCAUUCGAGAACACAUGGAGGAACCAGUGGCUUGAAUUCUAGUUUCUCAGACAACAUUGUGCCACAUUUUACUGAAAGAAAUGUGACGGAGAUUGGGAGAUCUACUAAAUCGGAGCCAAGUCAAGACUUUGGGAAGAACUGGACCAACACAAAAGUGCCUAAAUUGUCUAAAACCGCAACUGCUGACCAACCAAUUGGGAUGUCAUCUCCAAGAGCAUCUUUGAAACCAACCAUUGAUCGUACGGAUAGCAACUUCACACAGAAAACUGCAAAGACCGCCAUUACAGAUUACCCUGAGGCUACUUCUACUUCUAAAAUAUUAAACAGUGAUCAAGUAGAGACAAGUAAUGACCACAUCGAGGCUGCUUCCACAACUAUCCCUCCUAUCAGCAAGCCAUGCAAGACGACUACGACUUCAGGUGAUCAGAUUGAACCUUCAACAACAAACAAAGAGCUAAGUAAGACCUCCGAAUGCCCCAAAGUCUUGCCUUUAACCACCAAGACAUCUAAGACUACCUCAACCUCAAAAAUGAGCAAAAACCACACAUUUCUGUGCAGUCCUUCAAAGACGCUUCUCUCAGAUCUUUCAAGGGAGUCCUCCACAGUUUUUAGAGAGGCCAGUACUGCCCAAAGCAUAGCAUUAGCUAAAGGAACCUCAAAGUUUCCCAAAACUGGCUCAUAUUCAGAUGCUAAACCAACAAGAGGCCCUCCAACAGACAGGGAACUUUCGGAAGUAUCGAUCCAAACCAAAGCUCAGCAGAGUGUCAGCGAGGCAAACAACGUUGUGAUGUCCAAUGAUUCAAGUGGAGACUACAAAGAGAAUCCUGAAUCUUCUGAGGCCUCCAGUGUCCUUUCAAAGAGCCCUCCCACAUCCAAGAUCACCACAGAAUCCAGAACCACCACGGCGAAUGAAAUCCCUGAAAGCAACGCGCCAUUAGGAACCAUGAUACCAAAGACACUGAGAGUCUCAGAUCAAGAGAACAGAGAGGUUGUGUCACUCUCUGUUUCCAGCAGUUCAACAACCAGGUCUUUAGUAGACCAAAUCUCGAAGGUUGAGCACCCUAACUACAAGUCUCUGACCGGAGAACCUAAAAUGAAGCAUGGGUCCUUUAGCAACCACACUAAGUCGGUCGCAACGAUGACCCUCAAGACUCAGAAAACUACAUUUCCCGCAGAGGCAAGAAAGAAAAGAGACAACCCGGAAACAAAAGAUGGAUCAGCUGGUGCGGAUCAGACUCCGGACCACAAGGCUUUGACAAGAAGCUUCGUCUUCCCCUCCGCAGACGUUGAGGAGUUUAAUAUCAGCAAACCCCAAUCCUCUCCACCUCCACCCCCUCCUCCUCCCUCCCCUUCACCCCUCAUCCCCUAUUCAUCGGUCGUCAACCCAUCCAACAGCGAUCACCUUUCCAUGGGGGCAGGUUUCCAUCCUGGGAACCACAGCCUUAGGUUUGCAGAGAAGUCGAGGCAUCACGGUGGCGUCUAUGGUCGACUGUCUAACCACAUGUCUGGAUCGCUCGCUGCACAGGUGUCGGACAAGAAGCAGACUUGUGAGCGCUCCCUAGUGUCCGAUCGUGGCAUUACAGCGACCAAGAAGAAGUCAGACGUCCAUUUCCCAGAUUUAAGAAGCUCAGGACUGCCAGAAAUCAGAGGAAGAGAAGGCAAACUCCACAAAGGCACUCCCAAGGAUCAGAGGAAAUCAGACGCCCAGCUGCACGGACACAGCGACUCACACACACCUUAACAAACAACACAUGCUGCACAAAAAACCCCUAAAUAUCUUCAUACAAUAUCAUGCCUUUUGUUGAUGACAGUACAUUUCCUCAGAGUCGCUGGAGUCCUCCUCCUCCGAAGAGGAACCCCUUCUCCACCGGUUCCCGUUCGUCCUUCCCGCUCUUUUUAGCGGCGCCUCACUCGACUCGCUGCUGUCUGACGACGCAGCGUAGCCUCUGUGAGGAAGCCUUCCCAUUGGCUGAGGAUGAAAGGAACCCUGCUGUUGGUCAGGAGACGGUGGAGGAGGCUGUGUGCGAGGAGGCCAGGGUUUCUGGUGUCUGGUUUCCUCGGUGGUGAUUUGACGCAUGGCUUUUUGGUGGUGGGAACAACCUGCUGGAGAAUUAUAGAGAAGAGAUUAAAAAAAAAAAUGCUUUGAUAUAAAGAACAAA